GACGAACGCUGGCGGCGUGCUUAACACAUGCAAGUCGAACGGUAAGGCCCUUCGGGGUACACGAGUGGCGAACGGGUGAGCAACACGUGGGUGAUCUGCCCUGCACUUCGGGAUAAGCCUGGGAAACUGGGUCUAAUACCGGAUAGGACCACUGCCUGCAUGGGUGGUGGUGGAAAGCUUUUGCGGUGUGGGAUGGGCCCGCGGCCUAUCAGCUUGGUGGUGGGGUGAUGGCCUACCAAGGCGACGACGGGUAGCCGGCCUGAGAGGGUGCGCGGCCACACUGGGAGUGGGAUACGGCCCAGGCUCCUGCGGGAGGCAGCAGUGGGGAAUAUGGAACAAUGGGCGGAAACCUGAUGCAGCAUCGCCGCGUGAGAGACGACGGCCUUCGGGUAGUAGACCUCUUUUAGUAGGGAAGAAGCGAAAGUGACGGUACCUGCAGAAAAAGCACCGGCUAACUACGUGCCAGCAGCCGCCGUAA
rnacentral:rRNA from 1 species